CCUACGGGAGGCAGCGGUGGGGAAUAUUGGACAAUGGGCGCAAGCCUGAUCCAGCCAUACCGCGUGUGUGAAGAAGGCCUUUUGGUUGUAAAGCACUUUAAGCGAGGAGGAGGCUCUUGAGGAUAAUACCCUUGAUGAGUGGACGUUACUCGCAGAAUAAGCACCGGCUAACUCUGUGCCAGCAGCCGCGGUAAUACAGAGGGUGCGAGCGUUAAUCGGAAUUACUGGGCGUAAAGCGCGCGUAGGCGGCUUGUUAAGUCGGAUGUGAAAUCCCCGGGCUCAACCUGGGCACUGCAUUCGAUACUGGCAAGCUAGGGUAUGGGAGAGGAAGGUAGAAUUCCAGGUGUAGCGGUGAAAUGCGUAGAGAUCUGGAGGAAUACCGAUGGCGAAGGCAGCCUUCUGGCCUAAAUACUGACGCUGAGGUGCGAAAGCAUGGGGAGCAAACAGGAUUAGAUACCCUGGUAGUCCAUGCCGUAAACGAUGUCAACUAGCCGUUGGGGACCUUGAGUCUUUAGUGGCGCAGCGACGACGAAGUAAGUUAGUUACGCCGUGGGUUAGGUUAGGUCGCGAGACGAAACGUUACGAAGGAAGUUAGACGGCGNGAGAGNGCGACGGACGACGACGAGGGAGGUUAGGAG
rnacentral:rRNA from 1 species